UCAAAACGACUCUCGGCAACGGAUAUCUCGGCUCUCGCAUCGAUGAAGAACGUAGCAAAAUGCGAUACUUGGUGUGAAUUGCAGAAUCUCGUGAAUCAUCGAGUCUUUGAACGCAAGUUGCGCCCGAAGCCUUCUGGCCAAGGGCACGUCUGCCUGGGCGUCAC
rnacentral:rRNA from 1 species